AUGAUGUAUGAAAGGAAAGAAGGUUAGCACUCCCCUUGACAAGGAUGAAAGGGGCCCUCCAGCCUUUACAACGUGCAUAUGGCUAAGGCAUCUAAACAUGGUUUAAA
rnacentral:ncRNA from 1 species